GGAGAGCAGUACCCCCAUGGCUGCAGAAGCAUUUUCAAAGGAAAAAAUCUAUUAUAAUGAAAUCUUAUGGGCAAACCAAGAUCUGGUGUUAUGUGAAGAAGUCUUAAACAGUACUUCCUAGGACCUGGAGCUGUGGUGACUGGCAGGAAGAGAGUCCAAGACAGGCUUCUGCUUCUACUAUUGACAGGACUCAGAGACCAGAGACCAGCAGGAACACCAGCAACACAGCAGGACCCUGGCUAGAGCUGCCAGGAUGGAGAGUUUCAGGAUUCUCAGCUGUCUUGGACAACCCCCUACCUUCAAAUUAAUGACAAGGAGUCCCAGUGCGAAACAUGAUGGUCUGAAAGUGCGAGGAUCCUCAGGAAUGGACCAUCCAGGGGAUUUUCAUUAUACCAAUUGGCUGUCCUCGGACUUUCUGCUCAAGGAAAUUGGCAGGCGCUGCACUAUUUUCUCUUCUCUUUGCUGCUCUGAAGAAUGCAGCCAUGGCAGCCCUCCUCCCAAGUCCUCAAAGCCAAGGGCAACAGAGGGGUGGAGGACCUACAGCCAGUCACCCUGCGCCUGCGGCAAUGACCUCACCUGCAAAAGGUGCACAGCAAACCCCAAGGAUCGUGAACCUGCCUCAAGCAGACAAGCCCUCAUCCGGACAGGGCUUGCUGUGAAAGCCAGCUAUCUGCUUCAUUUCAUCAGGCUGCUGCCGCCCAGCACAGGAAAUUAAAAGCAUUUCAUAGAUCACGGAGUGCAGCACCAAGUGAUCCCAGACAGAAUCCAUCCUCUGCCCUCCUGCUUCUUCUGGUGCAGGAGCAGGCUCGGAGCAGUCAGGGACUGAACUUUCAAGAGGAACUGCUGGGCUUUUCUGGCCACAGUUGUCUCCAAGGCAAGAAAGGGGGCCCUAUCCUCAGAGCCAUGAAGAUGGAAGAGCUGCCCUAAUAACAAGAUGGCAGCAUGUGUGCAUGAGUGUGUGUGUGUCUAUGUCUGUGGUGUGUGUGUGUGUGUGUGUGGUGUGUGUGUGUAUGAGUUCUGGAAGAGAUGUAGGAGAGAGUGGUGGUCACCAAGGGGAAAACUGGAAUCACAAGCCAAAGGAAGACUAACUUUCUUCUUUUCAGCUUUUUGCACACUAAAGCUUUAUCCCAUGCACUGUGUUAACUAUUUGCACAAGCAGUACAUAUUUUAAAGGUGAAAUAAAAUAAGGGUAUACAUAUAGGAGACCUAAGAGGAAAGGAACAUUCAUUUUAUGAGGUACUGGAGGUUGAACCCAGGGUCUUUUUAAUUUGGAGACAGUGUUUCACUAAGUUGCCCAGGCUGAGCUCAAACUUGCAAUCUUCCUACCUCAAUCUCUCAGAGUGCUGGGAUUACAGGCGUGACCCAGAAAAUACUCUUAAAUUGAACCCUAAAGAACAAAAUGAAUCAACCAGUAACAGAGAAAAGGGAGAGUCUCAGGCAGGGGGUGCAGCUGAAGCGAAAGCUUAGAGGUGGGUGGGGAGGAAAAAGGAUCAUUUAGGAGAAAAGGCCUAAGGACAGAUCAGGGAUGUGAUUCUCAGCCCCCUCCUUCCUCCCUCAUUUGCCAGCUACUGUGGAAUCAGUUUCAGGACGCUGCAGGGAAGGUCAUCUCACUCACUCCCCUUCUGAGCUGUGCACUGGGGUACCCUGAGGUGUGAUGUCUAGGCUUUCUACUUGCUCUGUAUCCCUUCCUCUGGGUUUUAGCAAAAGCAAUCCCUUUCUUAUGUCAAAGCUUCUCCUACUCUCUCCUGUGGGAGUGACAGCCCUAAGCCACGCUACACCAGCCAAGCGUGGGGGCCAUGACCCAGUCCACAGUCUCCCUCUCCCUUGGUGGAUCUUCCUGAGCAUGGCAGACACUAGGCUCAUUCACCCCAGGGUCCAGCUGGAGGUUUCCACUAGGUCCCACUCACUGGACCUGCUCGUGCAACUUCCCUUCAGCUCCGUUCUACCUAGAAGCAUCCUGAUAGAGUCCUUUACUGAUAUUUUAGGCACCGUUUCUAUAAUUUACAAUCAAAGAUACUUAGGGAAUUUCUCUGUUCUUUGAGGGUCAAAUAAAAUUUGGCUUUGAGACCACCUAAAUGCAGCAGACGAUUCUCAUUCCUGC
ensembl:lincRNA